GUUUCGAAUUACGUUUUAGAACACUGUUUCUUAAACUAAGUAUGAAGUUUCACUUGGUGUUUGCUUUUAGCCUGAUCUCGGCAGUGUUUGCAACUCUGGAUGAUGAGAUCGAGCGCACUGCUUUAGAGAAUCCUAAUUUAUUUGGUGAAGAUAUUGCUGGGAUUGACAGCCCAGAUGUACGCAGAGGAAUUUUGCUUUACUGUCACCAAAGGUAAGCCGUCUGUUGACACCUUUCGACUAUAAAUCCAUCAUGAUCUAUGGAAAUAAAUAUUUUUCUAUAGAUGGCAAAAAAAAAAACACUAUGGUGGCAAGGAAUGGAACGCCACUCUACGGCCCACACAGGAAGCACAAGAUGGCUCUAUCCGAUAUCCAGCGUGUUGUUAAAAUGUUAUACAACUGUUAGAUUUUCUGAACUUCUCUUGCGACGAGUUUUAGCUCAACAUUGUGCUUCAACUAGAAUGGAUUCGGUUAUUAUACAUUUGAAUCUUUGAUGAGCAUAUAAUAUUAUAUUGUUUUGUGAAAUUUAGGAAAUGUUACAAUGUAAAUUAUGGAAAGAAAAAUGUGCAAAAAUAAUCUACUAUACCAGAAACCAAAUUCAUGCAGAUGUAAAAGUUAGGUAUCAGAUCAAAAUAUUACUAACAGAUAUAUCUUAAUAAAGAUUUGCAUUUAGAAUCAAA